CUGGGUGAUGUCAUGCAUGAUUGGUGGUAUAACAACAGAAGCUAAUGCAUCAACACUACUUGGAGUAUCACUAUCACAUAGUAUUGCCACACUUCUUCCAGCUGAAGUAUCUAUUUCUGGCUCUAUCUCAGUCAUGGUCAUGGACAAUGUGAAUGAAGAGUCUUCAGCAUCACUGGGUUGUUCAAGCAUACUGGCUAAUUCCUGCACAUUGUGGAAUUUAGAUUCAUUUAAUUAAAAAUGUUUCAAGUGUAAUGUUCAAAGAAAAUUUUAAUAUAAUGAUCUCACUUAUAUAUAUCAAUACAUACUUAUUCAUGCUCAAGAUAAAUAAUAUCAAAAUUAUUCUGUAAAAAUAACAUUAAUGGG